UUGCAAUCCUGAGUAGAGUGGCGCACGGGUGAGUAACACGUAGAUAAUCUACCUUCAAGCCCGGGAUAACCCUUCGAAAGGAUGGCUAAUACCGGAUGCAGUUUCAGUAUACAAGUGCUGAGAUGAAAGAUUGCCUCUUCUUGAAAGCAAUUGUUUGGAGAUGAGUUUGCGUACCAUUAGCUUGUUGGUGGGGUAAAAGCCUACCAAGGCUGCGAUGGUUAGCUGGUCUGAGAGGAUGAUCAGUCACACUGGAACUGGAACACGGUCCAGACUCCUACGGGAGGCAGCAGUGAGGAAUUUUGCGCAAUGGGGGAAACCCUGACGCAGCAACGCCGCGUGAGUGAAGAAGGCCCUUGGGUCGUAAAGCUCUGUCAACUGGGAAGAAGUUGUUAUUGUUUAAUAAAUGAUAGCAUUGACGGUACCAGUGGAGGAAGCGCCGGCUAACUCCGUGCCAGCAGCCGCGGUAACACGGGGGGCGCAAGCGUUAUUCGGAAUUAUUG
rnacentral:rRNA from 1 species